GGGACACGUGGUAUCCUGUCUGAAUAUGGGGGGACCAUCCUCCAAGGCUAAAUACUCCUGACUGACCGAUAGUGAACCAGUACCGUGAGGGAAAGGCGAAAAGAACCCCGGCGAGGGGAGUGAAAAAGAACCUGAAACCGUGUACGUACAAGCAGUGGGAGCCUCUUUUAUGGGGUGACUGCGUACCUUUUGUAUAAUGGGUCAGCGACUUAUAUUCUGUAGCAAGGUUAACCGAAUAGGGGAGCCGAAGGGAAACCGAGUCUUAACUGGGCGUUAAGUUGCAGGGUAUAGACCCGAAACCCGGUGAUCUAGCCAUGGGCAGGUUGAAGGUUGGGUAACACUAACUGGAGGACCGAACCGACUAAUGUUGAAAAAUUAGCGGAUGACUUGUGGCUGGGGGUGAAAGGCCAAUCAAACCGGGAGAUAGCUGGUUCUCCCCGAAAGCUAUUUAGGUAGCGCCUCGUGAAUUCAUCUCCGGGGGUAGAGCACUGUUUCGGCAAGGGGGUCAUCCCGACUUACCAACCCGAUGCAAACUGCGAAUACCGGAGAAUGUUAUCACGGGAGACACACGGCGGGUGCUAACGUCCGUCGUGAAGAGGGAAACAACCCAGACCGCCAGCUAAGGUCCCAAAGUCAUGGUUAAGUGGGAAACGAUGUGGGAAGGCCCAGACAGCCAGGAUGUUGGCUUAGAAGCAGCCAUCAUUUAAAGAAAGCGUAAUAGCUCACUGGUCGAGUCGGCCUGCGCGGAAGAUGUAACGGGGCUAAACCAUGCACCGAAGCUGCGGCAGCGACACUAUGUGUUGUUGGGUAGGGGAGCGUUCUGUAAGCCUGUGAAGGUGUACUGUGAGGUAUGCUGGAGGUAUCAGAAGUGCGAAUGCUGACAUAAGUAACGAUAAAGCGGGUGAAAAGCCCGCUCGCCGGAAGACCAAGGGUUCCUGUCCAACGUUAAUCGGGGCAGGGUGAGUCGACCCCUAAGGCGAGGCCGAAAGGCGUAGUCGAUGGGAAACAGGUUAAUAUUCCUGUACUUGGUGUUACUGCGAAGGGGGGACGGAGAAGGCUAUGUUGGCCGGGCGACGGUUGUCCCGGUUUAAGCGUGUAGGCUGGUUUUCCAGGCAAAUCCGGAAAAUCAAGGCUGAGGCGUGAUGACGAGGCACUACGGUGCUGAAGCAACAAAUGCCCUGCUUCCAGGAAAAGCCUCUAAGCAUCAGGUAACAUCAAAUCGUACCCCAAACCGACACAGGUGGUCAGGUAGAGAAUACCAAGGCGCUUGAGAGAACUCGGGUGAAGGAACUAGGCAAAAUGGUGCCGUAACUUCGGGAGAAGGCACGCUGAUAUGUAGGUGAAGUCCCUCGCGGAUGGAGCUGAAAUCAGUCGAAGAUACCAGCUGGCUGCAACUGUUUAUUAAAAACACAGCACUGUGCAAACACGAAAGUGGACGUAUACGGUGUGACGCCUGCCCGGUGCCGGAAGGUUAAUUGAUGGGGUCAGCGCAAGCGAAGCUCUUGAUCGAAGCCCCGGUAAACGGCGGCCGUAACUAUAACGGUCCUAAGGUAGCGAAAUUCCUUGUCGGGUAAGUUCCGACCUGCACGAAUGGCGUAAUGAUGGCCAGGCUGUCUCCACCCGAGACUCAGUGAAAUUGAACUCGCUGUGAAGAUGCAGUGUACCCGCGGCAAGACGGAAAGACCCCGUGAACCUUUACUAUAGCUUGACACUGAACAUUGAGCCUUGAUGUGUAGGAUAGGUGGGAGGCUUAGAAGUGUGGACGCCAGUCUGCAUGGAGCCGACCUUGAAAUACCACCCUUUAAUGUUUGAUGUUCUAACGUUGACCCGUGAUCCGGGUUGCGGACAGUGUCUGGUGGGUAGUUUGACUGGGGCGGUCUCCUCCUAAAGAGUAACGGAGGAGCACGAAGGUUGGCUAAUCCUGGUCGGACAUCAGGAGGUUAGUGCAAUGGCAUAAGCCAGCUUGACUGCGAGCGUGACGGCGCGAGCAGGUGCGAAAGCAGGUCAUAGUGAUCCGGUGGUUCUGAAUGGAAGGGCCAUCGCUCAACGGAUAAAAGGUACUCCGGGGAUAACAGGCUGAUACCGCCCAAGAGUUCAUAUCGACGGCGGUGUUUGGCACCUCGAUGUCGGCUCAUCACAUCCUGGGGCUGAAGUAGGUCCCAAGGGUAUGGCUGUUCGCCAUUUAAAGUGGUACGCGAGCUGGGUUUAGAACGUCGUGAGACAGUUCGGUCCCUA
rnacentral:rRNA from 1 species